GCGGGUGUGGCGAAAUUGGUAGACGCACCAGAUUUAGGUUCUGGCGCCGCGAGGCGUGUGAGUUCAAGUCUCUCCACCCGCACCA
rnacentral:tRNA from 2 species